GACGAACGCUGGCGGCGUGCUUAACACAUGCAAGUCGAACGGAAAGGCCUGCUUUCCCUUGUGGAUUGCGGGUACUCGAGUGGCGAACGGGUGAGUAACACGUGAGUGAUCUGCCCCCAACUUGGGUAUAAGCCUGGGAAACUGGGUCUAAUUCUCGAUAGGACUGCAGGGUGGUGCCUGUGGUGGAAAACGAUUUUCUAGUGGUUGGGGAUGAGCUCGCGGCCUAUCAGCUUGUUGGUGGGGUAAUGGCCUACCAAGGCGGCGACGGGUAGCCGGCCUGAGAGGGUGGACGGUCACAUUGGGACUGAGAUACGGCCCAGACUCCUACGGGAGGCAGCAGUGGGGAAUAUUGCACAAUGGGCGGAAGCCUGAUGCAGCGAGGCCGCGUGGGGGAUGACGGCCUUCGGGUUGUAAACUCCUUUCGACCGAGAGGAAGCCACCUGGUUGGAAGGGUGGUGACGGUAGUGGUAGAAGAAGCACCGGCUAACUACGUG
rnacentral:rRNA from 1 species